rnacentral:tRNA from 1 species
CCGAAAAUAGCUCAGCGGUAGAGCGGGAGACUGUAGUGGACAACCAAGAUAUCUCUAGGUCCCUGGUUCAAAUCCGGGUUUUCGGA